GAUGAACGCUGGCGGCGUGCCUAAUACAUGCAAGUCGAGCGAACAGACGAGGUGCUUGCUCCUCUGACGUUAGCGGCGGACGGGUGAGUAACACGUGGAUAACCUACCUAUAAGACUGGGAUAACUUUGGGAAACCGGAGCUAAUACCGGAUAAUAUAUUGAACCGCAUGGUUCAAUAGUGAAAGACGGUUUUGCUGUCACUUAUAGAUGGAUCCGCGCCGCAUUAGCUAGUUGGUAAGGUAACGGCUUACCAAGGCGACGAUGCGUAGCCGACCUGAGAGGGUGAUCGGCCACACUGGAACUGAGACACGGUCCAGACUCCUACGGGAGGCAGCAGUAGGGAAUCUUCCGCAAUGGGCGAAAGCCUGACGGAGCAACGCCGCGUGAGUGAUGAAGGUCUUCGGAUCGUAAAACUCUGUUAUUAGGGAAGAACAAAUGUGUAAGUAACUAUGCACGUCUUGACGGUACCUAAUCAGAAGGCCACGGCUAACUACGUG
rnacentral:rRNA from 1 species